CUUCUUCGAUUUGCUGAGGGCAGAUAAAAUGAAUAUGCGCAUCGAUAGCACCUGCCGUGACGAUAUGACCUUCGCCGGCAAUCACUUCGGUACUUGCGCCAAUGUUAAUCGUGACAUCAGGCUGAAUGUCUUUGUUACCUGCUUUGCCGAUCGCGGCAAUGUUGCCAUCUUUAAUGCCAAUAUCCGCUUUCACAAUGCCCCAGUGAUCAAGGAUUAACGCAUUGGUGAUCACGCAGUCCAUCACUUGAUCACGACAUAACUGGCCUUGUCCCAUGCCAUCACGAAUG
rfam:Vibrio sp. EJY3 chromosome 1, complete sequence.